UACGAAGGGGGCUAGCGUUGUUCGGAAUUACUGGGCGUAAAGCGCACGUAGGCGGAUCGAUCAGUCAGGGGUGAAAUCCCAGGGCUCAACCCUGGAACUGCCUUUGAUACUGUCGAUCUGGAGUAUGGAAGAGGUGAGUGGAAUUCCGAGUGUAGAGGUGAAAUUCGUAGAUAUUCGGAGGAACACCAGUGGCGAAGGCGGCUCACUGGUCCAUUACUGACGCUGAGGCACGAAGGUCAGGGGAGCAAACGGG
rnacentral:rRNA from 1 species